AAGUGAUGUUUGGCUCAGAGAAGAGUCUUCAGACCUGGAAAGGACUUGAGGAGUCCCAGAGAGGAGCUACAUGGUCUGAACCAUUUGAUUCUCACAAAAGAAUGGGGAAAAACAAUUCCAACCAUGAAGCAAUGCAGAUGUUCAUAUUUUGGAUCUGGUAAGGUAUGUAUUGGGUGGAGGAGCAUUAUGUAUGGAACUUCUCACAAAACAGGGCUGAAGCAGUGCCUACUCAAUAGAACCGGUCAUCGUGCAAAGAAAUGCCACCUGACUCAAAGGCAAAGCCAGAGUGCAGCUUGGAGCAAAGAAGUUCCCAAACUGGUGUACUAGAAAGUCUUGUGAAUGAUCUUCAGGGGAAAAAAGAAAAUCAUGGCCAUAUGAAUUCAUUGUUCUGAGAGGUCCCGU
rnacentral:lncRNA from 10 species